rnacentral:lncRNA from 1 species
GGGGGCGGGACUUGUGGUCUUCGGGCAGGCUCGUGGACCUUGGAGAUCCGAAAAAUGUAGCUCUCGGUUUCGACCAAAAAGGCGUUGUUAGCUAUCCAAACUUCAGACCAGAGAAGAGCUAACAGCGCUAAAUCGCUGACAAGUCGGGGUUUUUAGCAUCGUAGGUAUAUGCCGAACAGUGCGGAUUAAGGGAUUCCCCGGUUUUCUUUAGGUUUGCACACGUCCAACACCAUGAAAAUGUUGAGAAAAAUGUCGCUAACUAGCAUAGCUUUCCAUUCAGCUAGUUAGCCAGGUAUGUUAGACGAAUGUUUCGUGUUACGAGACCGAGCACCAAAGCUUCAUAAGAAUAUUAAAGUCAUUGUCAGGAUUUCAGAAGCUGUGCCAUUUUGGAUACUUUUGGGGGAACGCGGGAAGAAUCGAGGAGAACCCCGAACAGACAGGAAAAGAAGAGUCUUCUCCUCUCCAUAUUCAGCACUGCUCCUGUUUAACAGAUCACCUAUAUAAACGCCCUCGCUGAGAUUCCACCGGAGCUCUUUCUCCCCCCCUGCUGUGCUCCUAUCAGCUGGUUUCCUGGGGAAAGGAGUCCUGGAAUAAUGGCCAGGGGCGUUCUCUCACGUGGACACACCUCCAAACCACUUAUGUAACAGCACACCCCCCCCACACACACACUUGGACUAGUCAGCCAAAAAAGCGACAGCUGGGCCUGACACACAGAAAGAGGAGGAAGUUCUCAGUCGCUCCUGGAGGGAGUAACUCUGCUUCCUCAGUUUUUUUUUUGUUUUUUUUUUUUUUUGUUUUGUUCUUUGUUUUUUUGCUCCCCCCCCCAACGUCAUUAUUUCCAAACCUACUCUUGCACUUCCAGGAAGAAUUGAUUGCAGCAUUUUUUUUUGGUUCCUCUACAUGAAGCACACCCCCGCUGAACUGCAUUUUGGAGAGAAAAAGUGGCAGCCACCGCUCAGCUGCUUAUUCACCCUGGACCUGCAGUCGGUUGCAUAUAGACCCUCCUGUGAAUGCCGGGCCACGGGUCUUCAUUCACACCACAAGUGAUCAUCAGCACAAAACGAGGAUCGGCCUACUUCACCACUGCUCUAUGCAGCGUUUGGACCUGUCUGAAAAUCUGCUGACUGUUGUUUUUGACUGAAGAAUGAGUCAGAUUCGUGUGUGGAGGGCUUCCAUUCUGUCAGUCAGACCCGUGGCUUCAGAACAUUUCAUGAACUGAAAAACAGAAAUUGCCAUUUUGGUCUGGAGAGACUGUUGCCACUAAACACACUUUACCUUAGUAAUCUUUUUGGUAGUUUCUGUUUUUUUUGGCUUUCCUUUAAUAGAUUUCUAAUUUAAUUGGGUCUUUUUCUCUUUCGUUUUUUGUUGUAGUUGUUUCUUCAUUGAAGUGGCCAAUUUAUCAAAUGUAGGCUCCUCAAAUUUAACAUUUUAAAAAUGCCAAACGUGCUGAAUGCCUAGGCCUCUCUCACUGUCACCACUCUCCUCAAGCUUGUUCUGAUGCCCA